AAGAUUUAUACACAAUUUGCUACUGAAAAUUUGAUUUGAAGUUGUAAUGAUUAGGUUAUAAAGGUAGUAACUGUGACUGUACUUGCUUUUCAAAAAACCCAGCUGCUAAUUAAUAAUCACCUUCUCUGAAAUUUUAUCCUAGGGCUUCAUUCUAACCUAUCGAUUUUUAUCGUCAAUGAAAUGUAAGUGCCAUCCGACACCGUAUUCCACCGGAGCUGAUCAGGAGUUACUCUGAUAUGCAUUAGACAUUAAUAUGCACAUUUGAAUGAGGAGUCAGGUUCCAAGUUAUAAUAAAAACUACUUGUAAAGAAUUUUCUCCUGAAUUCAAAUCUUUAAAACAGCCACAACAGAUUAAAUUAUUUUUUAAGGAAGUUGUCUGACACAUCGAGGGACAUGUGAGAUCAAUGGCUCCAGAGUUAUAGAAGAGAAUCAAACUGUAACAUCCCACCUCCCCUAAAUUGCUAA
rnacentral:lncRNA from 1 species